UGGGUAGGGGUGAAAGGCCAAUCAAACUCGGAAAUAGCUGGUUUUCUGCGAAAUCUGUUUUAGCAGAGCGCUGCAAUCUUAUGGGGGUAGGGCUCUGGGUUCUCGAUGGGGGCGUUGGCUUUACUGACAGUGCUUAAACUACGAAUACCUUAUGCAGCAGACAGGCUGCGGGUGAUAAGAUCCGUGGCCAAGAGGGAAACAGCCCAGAUCGUAGGAUAAGGUUCUUAAUAAUGACUAAGUUAAAGGCGGCUUCGGCGAAAACAACCCUAGCGGUGGGCUUAGAAGCAGCCAUCCGUUAAAGAUAUCGUUAAAGAUUAUGGGACUAGCCACGUGUUGCCAAAAAUUUUUGGAGAUGGAGUCAUUAACCGAAGCCACGACUGCGCUUCACGCGCGGGGUAGCAGAAUGUUUAUAAUUGGUUGAAGCUGGCGCGAAAGCGCGCGUUGUAUAGACGGAGUGGACGAUUAUAAAGUAACAAUGUUAGCAUGAGUAACUAUAAUCUUCUGAGAACGGAGAUCACCGAAAAGCCCAAGGUUUGCUGCAAACGGACAUUCCUGGCAGCGUGACACGGUUCCUAAGAGACAGCCCGACAGGGUUGCUCGAUGGCA
rnacentral:rRNA from 12 species